rnacentral:misc_RNA from 1 species
GAUGAAGAACGCAGCGAAAUGCGAUACUUGGUGUGAAUUGCAGAAUCCCGCGAAUCAUCGAGUUUUUGAACGCAAGUUGCGCCCGAAGCCAUUCGGCCGAGGGCACGUCUGCCUGGGUGUCACGCAUCGUUGCCCCCCCAAACUCCGGUUCGGGCGGGGCGGAAGUUGGCCUCCCGUGCGUGCCUGCGCGCGCGGUUAGCCCAAAAGCGAGUCCUCGGCGACGAGCGCCACGACAAUCGGUGGUUUUUUUACCCUCGUUCCUCGUCGUGCGUGUCCCGUCGCCCGAACGCGCUCUUGCAACCCUCACGCGUCGCCUCGGCGGCGCUCCCAACGCGACCCCAGGUCAGGCGGGACUACCCGCUGAGUUUAAGCAUAUCAAUAAGCGGAGGA